rnacentral:rRNA from 1 species
UACAGAGGAUGCAAGCGUUAUCCGGAAUGAUUGGGCGUAAAGCGUCUGUAGGUGGCUUUUUAAGUCCGCCGUCAAAUCCCAGGGCUCAACUCUGGACAGGCGGUGGAAACUACCAAGCUGGAGUACGGUAGGGGCAGAGGGAAUUUCCGGUGGAGCGGUGAAAUGCGUAGAGAUCGGAAGAACACCAACAGCGGAAGCAACUCUGCUGGGCCGACACUGACACUGAGAGACGAAAGCUAGGGGAGCGAAUGGG